rnacentral:misc_RNA from 1 species
CCCGCUGUUAAGUUUUAUUUAUUAAUUAAGUUUACUCAUACUGCAAAGUUACGCAAGAGUUUGAAGUGUCCACCCGGAGCCCCCGCCCGAAGGCAGGGUCGCCCCGGAGGCAACAGAGUCGGACAACAAAGGGUUAUGAAUAACCAGGCCGAAGCCCGGGCGUUCUUGUAAUGAUCCCUCCGCAGUUCACCUACGGAAGGAUCAUUACAAGAACGCGGGCUUCGGCCUGGUUAUUCAAAC